rnacentral:rRNA from 1 species
UACGAAGGGGGCUAGCGUUGCUCGGAAUCACUGGGCGUAAAGCGCACGUAGGCGGAUUGCUAAGUCAGGGGUGAAAUCCUGGAGCUCAACUCCAGAACUGCCUUUGAUACUGAAGAUCUUGAGUUCGGGAGAGGUGAGUGGAACUGCGAGUGUAGAGGUGAAAUGCGCAGAUAUCAGGAAGAACACCUAUGGCGAAGGCAGCUCUCUGGGACGGGUACUGGACGCUGAGACGCGAAAGCGUGGGGAGCGAACAGG